rnacentral:rRNA from 1 species
GGAGUAUGGACCGUGUCUCAGUUCCAUUGUGGGGGACCUUCCUCUCAGAACCCCUACCCAUCGUCGCCUCGGUGGGCCGUUACCCCGCCGACUAGCUAAUGGGACGCGAGCCAAUCCGCAACCGAUAAAUCUUUCAAACAUGGACCAUGCGAUCCUCGUUGUUAUGGGGUAUUAGUAGACGUUUCCAUCUGUUAUCCCCCGGUCGCGGGCAUGUCGCUCACGCGUUACGCACCCUUUCGCCGGUCGCCGCCAGAAGUAUUGCUACCCCCGCGCUGCCCCUCGACUUGCAUGUGUUAAGCCUGCCGCUAGCGUUCAUC